GGUGUCCCAAUAGGUGGUCAAUCUGGUGGUUCUAAUCAUCAUGGCUAUUAUGGGAAUCCCGCCUUUGGUGUUGGCAUGUCAUAUCCUGGAAGUCCCCUUGCAAGUCCUGUUAUUCCAAACUCUCCCAUUGGACCUGGCAGUCCAAUAAGACACAAUGAGCUGAAUAUGCGUUUUCCUUCUGGGAUGAGGAACUUAGCUGGGGGCAUCAUGGGACCGUGGCACUUGGAUGGAGGAGUUAAUGUGGAUGAAAGCUUUGCAUCAUCUCUUCUGGAGGAGUUUAAGAGUAAUAAAACUAAGUGUCUUGAACUUUCAGAAAUUGCCGGACAUGUUGUUGAGUUCAGUGCGGACCAGUACGGGAGUCGGUUCAUUCAACAAAAACUUGAGACAGCCACAAUUGAUGAGAAAAACAUGGUUUAUCAGGAAAUCAU
rnacentral:misc_RNA from 1 species